rnacentral:lncRNA from 1 species
CAACAAAAUGCCUUGGUUCUCCAGAAGGUACAUUCCUUGAGAAUCAUAGAUAGAGAAGGUCUUCUAUGUUAUUAUUUUAGCUGAAAGUAAGCCCAGAGCCUUUAAGUUGAAAGUGGCAGAGACAAAAUUUGGAAUCACAUGCAGAUUUAUAUAUUGAUCUAGAGGAAACUGCAGUUUUCUCAAGAGAUACUGGUCAUAGAAUCCUAGCAACCAUAAAGUACUUAAAAUUCUUUUACAGCUACUUUAUGGUAGCCUAAAUUGACUUAAUAGAGCACUAUCAAAUCAAUUCAUUCUCUUAACUCUUAGGACUGCAUUAUCUUGAUUUGAAUUGUUGGUAAACCAGGCCAUCCAGUAAUUAGAGGGAUGCAUGGUGUAUGAUAUAUUAUCCAUAAGACCUGCCACCUGAAGAAAGGAGACAGUUGUAUGAAAGAAAUUUUGAAUGGAGCUCUCCAUAAAUUGGACACCACUGAAUGGUUCUAUUCCGGUGCAAGAAAUUGUAUAUAAGGACAGUGGCCCAACUGAAAAAGAUGCACAGCAUUCAAAUUAUUAGCUCAAUAAGACAGAUAUUCAUAGAGAAAAUUUUAGGGGUCUCAGCGAAGCCCCUCUGAGGAAGCAGUGUUGCCCUUCCUGAGCUUGAAGAGCCUCCUGUCUUUUUGAAGCAAAUACACUCAAUCUGAUUUAUAAUCAUUUGCUUCUUCUUCGACGGAAGGAAGAAUUGGACCAAACGCUAUUUUGAUUCCGGUCAGAAGAUUUUUCAAGCCUAAAGAAAUUACUUCAAGUUCUUGCUUCUAUUUUCUGGCAGGAUUUCUCUUCAG